rnacentral:rRNA from 1 species
AUUGAACGCUGGCGGCAGGCCUAACACAUGCAAGUCGAGCGGGGUUUUCGGACCUAGCGGCGGACGGGUGAGUAAUGCGCAGGAAGCUGCCCGAUAGAGGGGGAUACCAGUUGGAAACGACUGUUAAUACCGCAUAAUGUCUACGGACCAAAGUGUGGGACCUUCGGGCCACAUGCUAUCGGAUGCGCCUACGUGGGAUUAGCUAGUUGGUGAGGUAAUGGCUCACCAAGGCGACGAUCUCUAGCUGGUUUGCGAGGAUGAUCAGCCCCACUGGAACUGAGACACGGUCCAGAGUCCUAGGGGAGGCAGCAGUGGGGAAUAUUGGACAAUGGGCGCAAGCCUGAUCCAGCCAUGCCGCGUGUGUGAAGAAGGCCUUCGGGUUGUAAAGCACUUUCAGCGAGGAGGAAGGGUUAGUCGUUAAUAGCGGCUAAUUUUGACGUUACUCGCAGCAGAAGCACCGGCUAACUCUGUGCCAGCAGCCGCGGUAAAAC